rnacentral:rRNA from 1 species
CAGUAGCCGCGGUAAAACGUAGGUGGCAAGCGUUGUCCGGAAUUAUUAGGCGUAAAGGGCUCGCAGGCGGUUUCUUAAGUCUGAUGUGAAAGCCCCCGGCUCAACCGGGGAGGGUCAUUGGAAACUGGGAAACUUGAGUGCAGAAGAGGAGAGUGGAAUUCCACGUGUAGCGGUGAAAUGCGUAGAGAUGUGGGGGAACACCAGUGGCGAAGGCGACUCUCUGGUCUGUAACUGACGCUGAGGAGCGAAAGCGUGGGGAGCGAACAGGAUUAGAUACCCCCGUAGUCCCUGUCUCUUAUAC